rnacentral:rRNA from 1 species
GACGUAGGAGGCGAGCGUUAUCCGGAUUCACUGGGCGUAAAGCGCAUGUAGGCGGAUGCCUAAGUCGUGUGUUAAAGCCCCUGGCUCAACUGGGGGAGGUCAUGCGAGACUGGAUGACUUGAGGGCAACAGAGGCACGUGGAACUCCCGGUGUAGCGGUGGAAUGCGUAGAGAUCGGGAAGAACACCCGUGGCGAAGGCGGCGUGCUGGGUUGCAACUGACGCUGAGAUGCGAAAGUGUGGGGAGCAAACGGG